UGUUUUAUCACCUGUAUUUGAUUUUUUUUUCUAGUUGGUUCGACGUAGAGGGUACUCCACACCGCGCAGCUAUCGCCUUAGAGAUAGAUGUUGAGGGAAAGACACCAGAAAAUGAUUGUAUGUUAGCGGUUCUACUCUACCUGAAGCCACACUCGACCCUGGCUGAGAGUACUUCUGGACUUGAAGAGUAAGGGAUCUGAGAAGACCAGGUCAGGGUCCUGGAUCUCUGCUUGUCAGCAACGUUACCAUAAUUGUCACUUAUAGUCCAAUAAAUCUGGUCUUCUAGAUAAUAUUGUUACUAAUAUAAAAGCGAUAAUCAAAGACAUUUAAAAAAAUAUAGACGAGGCACUGAACAAAUUUUUUUCACCGGUACUUUCUCUAAAAGUGUCUAGUUUAGUAUCACCUUAUGUUCAUCCAUCUUUUGUUAUCGGAAUUUAAUUAUAUUGACAUACGGUUUUGAGAUUUAUUAUUACAUAGCGUUAGUAAGAAUAUGUGAAAAAUGUUUCAGCAGAAUUGUGUUUAAUGCCUCCUCUAUGUAUUUAAAUCUCUUUGAAUCCAGCGAAUCUGGCUUGAUAGGUAAAAGUGUGAUU